AUCAACCGAGAUUCCCCCAGUAGCGGCGAGCGAACGGGGAGCAGCCCAGAGCCUGAAUCAGUGUGUGUGUUAGUGGAAGCGUCUGGAAAGGCGCGCGAUACAGGGUGACAGCCCCGUACACAAAAAUGCACAUGCUGUGAGCUCGAUGAGUAGGGCGGGACACGUGGUAUCCUGUCUGAAUAUGGGGGGACCAUCCUCCAAGGCUAAAUACUCCUGACUGACCGAUAGUGAACCAGUACCGUGAGGGAAAGGCGAAAAGAACCCCGGCGAGGGGAGUGAAAAAGAACCUGAAACCGUGUACGUACAAGCAGUGGGAGCCUCUUUAUGGGGUGACUGCGUACCUUUUGUAUAAUGGGUCAGCGACUUAUAUUCUGUAGCAAGGUUAACCGAAUAGGGGAGCCGAAGGGAAACCGAGUCUUAACUGGGCGUUAAGUUGCAGGGUAUAGACCCGAAACCCGGUGAUCUAGCCAUGGGCAGGUUGAAGGUUGGGUAACACUAACUGGAGGACCGAACCGACUAAUGUUGAAAAAUUAGCGGAUGACUUGUGGCUGGGGGUGAAAGGCCAAUCAAACCGGGAGAUAGCUGGUUCUCCCCGAAAGCUAUUUAGGUAGCGCCUCGUGAAUUCAUCUCCGGGGGUAGAGCACUGUUUCGGCAAGGGGGUCAUCCCGACUUACCAACCCGAUGCAAACUGCGAAUACCGGAGAAUGUUAUCACGGGAGACACACGGCGGGUGCUAACGUCCGUCGUGAAGAGGGAAACAACCCAGACCGCCAGCUAAGGUCCCAAAGUCAUGGUUAAGUGGGAAACGAUGUGGGAAGGCCCAGACAGCCAGGAUGUUGGCUUAGAAGCAGCCAUCAUUUAAAGAAAGCGUAAUAGCUCACUGGUCGAGUCGGCCUGCGCGGAAGAUGUAACGGGGCUAAACCAUGCACCGAAGCUGCGGCAGCGACGCUUAUGCGUUGUUGGGUAGGGGAGCGUUCUGUAAGCCUGCGAAGGUGUGCUGUGAGGCAUGCUGGAGGUAUCAGAAGUGCGAAUGCUGACAUAAGUAACGAUAAAGCGGGUGAAAAGCCCGCUCGCCGGAAGACCAAGGGUUCCUGUCCAACGUUAAUCGGGGCAGGGUGAGUCGACCCCUAAGGCGAGGCCGAAAGGCGUAGUCGAUGGGAAACAGGUUAAUAUUCCUGUACUUGGUGUUACUGCGAAGGGGGGACGGAGAAGGCUAUGUUGGCCGGGCGACGGUUGUCCCGGUUUAAGCGUGUAGGCUGGUUUUCCAGGCAAAUCCGGAAAAUCAAGGCUGAGGCGUGAUGACGAGGCACUACGGUGCUGAAGCAACAAAUGCCCUGCUUCCAGGAAAAGCCUCUAAGCAUCAGGUAACAUCAAAUCGUACCCCAAACCGACACAGGUGGUCAGGUAGAGAAUACCAAGGCGCUUGAGAGAACUCGGGUGAAGGAACUAGGCAAAAUGGUGCCGUAACUUCGGGAGAAGGCACGCUGAUAUGUAGGUGAAGUCCCUUGCGGAUGGAGCUGAAAUCAGUCGAAGAUACCAGCUGGCUGCAACUGUUUAUUAAAAACACAGCACUGUGCAAACACGAAAGUGGACGUAUACGGUGUGACGCCUGCCCGGUGCCGGAAGGUUAAUUGAUGGGGUCAGCGCAAGCGAAGCUCUUGAUCGAAGCCCCGGUAAACGGCGGCCGUAACUAUAACGGUCCUAAGGUAGCGAAAUUCCUUGUCGGGUAAGUUCCGACCUGCACGAAUGGCGUAAUGAUGGCCAGGCUGUCUCCACCCGAGACUCAGUGAAAUUGAACUCGCUGUGAAGAUGCAGUGUACCCGCGGCAAGACGGAAAGACCCCGUGAACCUUUACUAUAGCUUGACACUGAACAUUGAGCCUUGAUGUGUAGGAUAGGUGGGAGGCUUGGAAGUGUGGACGCCAGUCUGCAUGGAGCCGACCUUGAAAUACCACCCUUUAAUGUUUGAUGUUCUAACGUUGACCCGUAAUCCGGGUUGCGGACAGUGUCUGGUGGGUAGUUUGACUGGGGCGGUCUCCUCCUAAAGAGUAACGGAGGAGCACGAAGGUUGGCUAAUCCUGGUCGGACAUCAGGAGGUUAGUGCAAUGGCAUAAGCCAGCUUGACUGCGAGCGUGACGGCGCGAGCAGGUGCGAAAGCAGGUCAUAGUGAUCCGGUGGUUCUGAAUGGAAGGGCCAUCGCUCAACGGAUAAAAGGUACUCCGGGGAUAACAGGCUGAUACCGCCCAAGAGUUCAUAUCGACGGCGGUGUUUGGCACCUCGAUGUCGGCUCAUCACAUCCUGGGGCUGAAGUAGGUCCCAAGGGUAUGGCUGUUCGCCAUUUAAAGUGGUACGCGAGCUGGGUUUAGAACGUCGUGAGACAGUUCGGUCCCUAUCUGCCGUGGGCGCUGGAGAACUGAGGGGGGCUGCUCCUAGUACGAGAGGACCGGAGUGGACGCAUCACUGGUGUUCGGGUUGUCAUGCCAAUGGCACUGCCCGGUAGCUAAAUGCGGAAGAGAUAAGUGCUGAAAGCAUCUAAGCACGAAACUUGCCCCGAGAUGAGUUCUCCCUGAC
rnacentral:rRNA from 1 species